CACCUGGGCCAACCGUGAACUCUGUCCCAGUUGAUCCAGGCGCCGGGAAGAGGAGUUGCAGCGGCCACCCCUCUGGCCUCUUUCUGCCCAAGCUGGGUCCCCAAUCCCAGUUCAGCAAACCCUGAGGCUCACCCCUGCGCUGAUGGAUGGCUGAGUGUGGACUACCUGCAGCGGCUCUCCCAGCUUUCCAAAAGCACGAGACACACUAUGGGGUCCCCAGCCACAGUCCACAGGAGUAUGUUCUCUGAACCACCAGAGCCUGGAUUUUAUUCUGCCCACUCCCAGCUCAGCCAAGCUGUGGUCAUCGUGAUCAGGAGAGCCCACGAGGCCCUGCAUGCCAUCCCAGGGGAGCACUGACUCACUCUCCGGAAUCGUAAAGGCUUCAUCCGCCUGGCACUGAGGCACAGGUAAGCAGGGGCCCAGCCAGGAAUGCAUUCAGUGGUCAGAACCUCACAGUGUGUCUGGGGAUCCACAUUCUAUCCCUACACACCGGUCCCCUGGAGGUGGGCUGU
rnacentral:lncRNA from 1 species